CAAACGGAUUUGUGUCCAUCUUCUGCUCCUUGAGUUUGUCAGCCAGACUCUGUUGGUUGAUCUCAUCAUCCUGUGAAUUAUUACAAGAAAAGGACAUCAACUGUUUGUACAGGUUGCUCCUCCUCGUAUUUGCUCCGCUCGUGGCAACAAUAUUAUUUGACUUUUCUUUCACAAAGCUGAACUGUACCUGUAGGUCUGUCUUGAUGAGCGAGGCUCCUGCUUGGACCAGAUAAUGACAGAUAGUUCUUUGAGACAGGGACGCAGCUCGGUGAAGGACCGUCUCCCCCCUGGUCAACAGAAGAGAGAGAGAGAGAGCGUGUCAGAUUACAGCAUCUGACAACAUCACCCGAGGAACAGACAUCAACAGUGGCCCCCCUGCUGCUUCUUUUGGUGUCUUGUGUUUAUGAUGGCACAUAUAUCAUCACAUAUAUACUGAACAGAGAUCAGAGCACAGAUACAGACACAGGCAGUUUGAAAGCAUCAUCAUCUACACUCUGUUAACAUUUAAAUAAAGUGUUUAGCAUUUUAAAAACCUCAUGGUUUCAGUUCAAUGUUAGAUGUUUUCAAGCACAAAUAUAAUCUGUACUUACUGCAGUUUUUCUGUAACCACUGAAAACUACUUAAAAGGCCGGGUUGGUGAUUUUCUCCAGAUUCACUUUUUAAGAUUGUGGUUGAAAUUGUCUUUUGGUCCUGACAAUGCAGGCAAUGAGCUGAGGUCUGCUUCUGGGGUGGGUGCAGACGGAGCACUGAGGGAAUGCUACUUUUAGAAAAUGACCGACCCUGCCUUUAACCCAGACAAGACUCUCUCUUACCUGCUUUUUGUGACUUGAGAUAACAUUUGUAUUGAGUUGGCGCUCUACAAAAUAAAGAUUGAUUGAACUGA